rnacentral:lncRNA from 1 species
AAGCUGUUUUCCAUAGACAGAUUAGCAACAGUACUUUAACCUAAAGCUACUUUUGGGUAAACUUCAUUAAGAGUCUUUCUUUUCCUUCUCUAUAUUAAAUAUUCUGGUGCCUGGGUCAGUACUUGGCAAUGCUUGAUAGUUUUGUGGUUUGUCCAAAACACUCCGUUGCUCUCAUGGAGAGCCUUUUCCUUGUAUGAUUUUUAGCUUGGCAUUUGAGCAAAUAGAGUAGAUACAAGGCAUGCUUCAAAUAAAAGGAAGAUGGAAAGUUCUAGGCAGUUUGAGUUACAGGGUUUUUUGUUUUGUUUUUUGCUUACUAUUAAUACUUGGUAUGGGUACAUGUUCAUAAGAGAAGUAUUCAAAGAACUUUGUCUAGUUGACCGAUAUUGUCUCAUCAAUCCUGUCACUAACCUUUUUUUUCUGAAGACCUUGGAGCUGUAGUGCUUAUUGAAGGAGAUAAUGCAGCAUUGGUAUAGAACAGUGGAUAGAAUCAGGAAUUCUUAAGUGGAUGCUACUUUAUUUGCAAAUUCAUGGGUUUGAUGCCAAAUAGGUUGAAAGAACGAACUUAGGAAUGAUAUAGCAUUACAUCCUUAACUCCCAUAGCAUAAAAGUAUAGGAGAUUGAAUAUUGAAAUGCUCUAGAAUUUCACUUAAUUUGUAAGGUGGAAUUCAGAAGGCAAAAUUAUAUAUAAUCACUUAGAAAAUGAGUCAUCUUACAAACCCAGUGCUGGUAGGCUAGUAUGUGUUGAAGAUAGUGAUAGGUAAUCUGUUUGCUACCAGGACAUUAGCCUGUAGUUACCUUUCUGCCUAAAUACAAACUUGGGAAAGAGGUCUUUAUGACAAAAUUUAGUAUAUACCUGAACCAAGAGAAGUGAGUGUAGAGGUUUACUUUUUAACUUAGCUGAACAUGCAUAUAUAGGGUAGUGUAUAUUCUGUAAAAACCUCCAAGAGGUUCUAGGCAUUUAUUUCUUUGGACAACUGAACACCUUGUGUAGCAAUGGCAUAAUUCUAUAUCAGUAUAAGUUAAUCUAUGAAAUCUACUUGGGUUUGAGUCUGAAUUAACAGCUGAACUGCUGUUGGAUUAUUAGUUAACCUGUUUUCCUUUAAGACUGUCUUUGAGAUGAUAGAAAAUAGUUUAUCCACUUAAAAGUCUUAACAUUUUAACACAUAUUUGAACAAGUUGAUACUGGCCAAAAAUUGAAGCCAAAUCAAAAUUUGAUGGGAACUGAGAUGCUAAAGGCAUACCUAAAUGCUUCCAGUUUGUCAGCUAAGUACUUAGCUAAUUGAGAUGGAAGAAUCAUGGACAAUAAGAAUUCAAGUGAUCCAGCAUACUACAUUUUCUUGUUAGCUUAGAAAUAAAAGCAAUGUGUUGAUUUAAAUUUCAUCUCCUUUUUCUUAGUCUGUCCAUGUGAAUGUGCUGUGUGAAGAGUAAAAGGGGCCCAACUAAAUGUGUUCCAGUGAUUCUAAUAGGUAUUCAAAUUAAUUGCUGCUUGUAUGUUUACCAAUUACUGCUAGGUUUCCAGGACCACCUUAUACAAAGCUAUUGGCAACCAAAUGGACAGGAAAAUCCUCUGAAGGAUUUUCUAACUUUGCCUUUGUAUAUCAGAAGUAAAGUGUAAAAGACUAUAAUCAAGUCUAAGCUUUAAAGACAUUUACCCUCAACAGUGAUCUUUAAGGGGACUUUUCUGCCCUUGCUUACCAAAUUUUUUUUUCCUGUCUUGACCAGACUGGUAGUAAAGUGAAUAAAAAUGAGAUGAAGAAAGUCAGAUGCUGAAGUUAAUGGGAAACUUGGUGUGAGCUUUGGUUAUGCCAUCCUCAGAGCUUUUACUAUUGUAAAACAUAGAUUAAGUCUAGGUGAAGUCCAUGAGAGGACUUGUUUUCAUUUCAGUUUUGAUGGCAACAGUUUGGGUUUGUGCAGUAAAAAUGGCUGUACCCUCAAAAGGCAACCCAAUGGCUUUCUAAGAGUAGGCAGCCAAAGGUUCAUUGAGAAAAACAAAAGUUGUAGGAAAUCUAUUAAAUAUGCUUUAAAUUUGAGUGGCAAAGCAUGUUGUGUCUCCAUGAUAGAGAAGCAUUUGUUAGGGAACAUGUUUCCUUACAGCACACGCAGGUUAUUCUCUUAAGGAGUAUGCCAUAAACAGGUAGUUUAGACACAGUAAGCUUUGUUACAGUUAGAAAUGUUUUAACAUUUAAUUUUAGUCAAUGUCUUCAUUAGAAACUGGAAGGGUAGAGUUAAAUAUAGUGUUAAAAUACAACUUUUUACCUAGUAGUACUUAUGCUAUAAACUGUAAUACAUUGGAAAAUAUCCUAAUUUUUCCUUGCUGCAACAGCUUUGUUCUCAAAUAGUUUAAAAUAUUAAAAAUUGAACUUAAU